rnacentral:tRNA from 1 species
GGAAGGGCCGUGGCUCAGUGGCAGAGCCUCUGAGCUUGGCAUGCCGAAGGUCCCAGGUUCAAUCCCUGCGUUCUCUA